rnacentral:rRNA from 1 species
CUACGUGCCAGCAGCCGCGGUAAUACGGAAGGUCCAGGCGUUAUCCGGAUUUAUUGGGUUUAAAGGGAGCGUAGGCUGGAGAUUAAGUGUGUUGUGAAAUGUAGACGCUCAACGUCUGACUUGCAGCGCAUACUGGUUUCCUUGAGUACGCACAACGUUGGCGGAAUUCGUCGUGUAGCGGUGAAAUGCUUAGAUAUGACGAAGAACUCCGAUUGCGAAGGCAGCUGACGGGAGCGCAACUGACGCUUAAGCUCGAAGGUGCGGGUAUCAAACAGGAUUAGAUACCCUGGUAGUCCGCACAGUAAACGAUGGAUGCCCGCUGUUGGUACCUGGUAUCAGCGGCUAAGCGAAAGCGUUAAGCAUCCCACCUGGGGAGUACGCCGGCAACGGUGAAACUCAAAGGAAUUGACGGGGGCCCGCACAAGCGGAGGAACAUGUGGUUUAAUUCGAUGAUACGCGAGGAACCUUACCCGGGCU